rnacentral:rRNA from 1 species
CAGUCGCCACGGUAAUACGUAGGGUGCGAGCGUUAAUCGGAAUUACUGGGCGUAAAGCGUGCGCAGGCGGUUGUGUAAGACAGGUGUGAAAUCCCCGGGCUUAACCUGGGAACUGCGCUUGUGACUGCACAGCUAGAGUAUGGCAGAGGGGGGUGGAAUUCCACGUGUAGCAGUGAAAUGCGUAGAGAUGUGGAGGAACACCGAUGGCGAAGGCAGCCCCCUGGGCCAAUACUGACGCUCAUGCACGAAAACGUGGGGAGCAAACAGGAUUAGAUACCCCAGUAGUCCCUGUCUCUUAUAC